GCGAAUUUAGUUCACUUUGGUAUUGUGUCAAAAUGUUGAUUCUUUUAAAGUAAAUCUAAAGAAUUUAGAUGUAGUUGAAGCUUGUCAUCUGUUCUUGUUUUUUUUUAAUAAAAAUAUAAUAUUUAGAUUCAGAGUAAAUCUAAAAUGAGACCGGAAGCUGCUCCCAGGUGAUACUGAUGCUGCUUAUUUUUGCCCAGAUUUUGAGUCACAAGGUUCUAAAUUAUUGGUUUGAAGUCCUACAUGAGUAAUCACUUGGGGAGCUCAAUUAACACCCAGCAACAGACUAAUUAUUAAUAAACCAGAAUCUUCAGUAUUAGGCUUCAAUCAUUGGCAAUUUUUUUUUUUUUUGACACACAGUCUCCCACUGUCACCCAGGCUGAACUCCUGAGGCCAGAAUGAGACUAGGACAUGGUUCCUUUGCCUAAGUAAAGUGAGGCAGACAAUGGAAUACUUCAGACUUCAAAUUAGUAUGAUUUUCAAAACGUCAUACCUCGAACCACCACCAGAUGGCGAUGAGAAUGUUACAAAUAUUGUGCCACCAUAUAAUGCUUUCUCAGGCCAAGGCAUGCCAGAGGUAAAAUAAAAUACAUUUGUAACCCAAGU
rnacentral:lncRNA from 1 species